AGUCGAACGGGAUUUAGUAGACAGAAGCUUCGGUGGAAGAUUACUAAUGAGAGUGGCGAACGGGUGAGUAACGCGUGAGCAACCUGCCUAUGACAGUGGGAUAGCCUCGGGAAACCGGGAUUAAUACCGCAUAAAAUCGUAGAAACACAUGUUUUAACGGUCAAAGAUUUAUCGGUCAUAGAUGGGCUCGCGUCUGAUUAGCUAGUUGGUGAGAUAACAGCCCACCAAGGCGACGAUCAGUAGCCGGUCUGAGAGGAUGAACGGCCACAUUGGAACUGAGACACGGUCCAAACUCCUACGGGAGGCAGCAGUGGGGAAUAUUGCACAAUGGGGGAAACCCUGAUGCAGCGACGCCGCGUGAACGAAGAAGGUAUUCGUAUCGUAAAGUUCUGUCCUAUGGGAAGAUAAUGACAGUACCAUAGAAGAAAGCUCCGGCUAAAUACGUGCCAGCAGCCGCGGUAAUACGUAUGGAGCGAGCGUUGUCCGGAAUUAUUGGGCGUAAAGGGUACGCAGGCGGUUUAAUAAGUCGAAUGUUAAAGAUCGGGGCUCAACCCCGUAAAGCAUUGGAAACUGAUAAACUUGAGUAGUGGAGAGGAAAGUGGAAUUCCUAGUGUAGUGGUGAAAUACGUAGAUAUUAGGAGGAAUACCAGUAGCGAAGGCGACUUUCUGGACACAAACUGACGCUGAGGUACGAAAGCGUGGGGAGCA
rnacentral:rRNA from 2 species